rnacentral:lncRNA from 1 species
AUCCCGCAGGUACAAGCUCGGAGUAGACACCGAUAGGUCAGGCUUCCUCCGAUCUACACCUCCACUCUAUCUCUCUCAAUCUAGUAGAAACUAGAAGAUCUAUUUCUACUCACAUUGGUUGCUAAGCCUAAAAAGAAAUUUUAUUUACAAGAGAGGUAUUCCUUCGAGGGCUCCUCUCAACUCUAUGAUGAACUUGUCUCCUCCAGGGGCCAGGGGGUCUGGUUUUAUAGUCCCCUCAAGUGAACGUGAGCCGUUGGAUCAAACCGACAUUGAUUGGACGGUUAUCCUUGAUCCUUUAGGUCGGUGGAGCGUCGUCCGCGAAAAGAGUUCUGAUUGGCAUCCAGGAGGGGGCGGGCGCCCUGGUCCUCAGGGCGGGCGCCCUGGGCCAGGCCCCUUUCAGCCUCCGCUUUGUUCCCGUGGCUUCUGGAGUCUUCUAGAUGGUGGAAAAUUGCCCGAUGCGUUGAUAUCUCUAUGUAAUCCCGACACGUGGGCCUUUCUUCCUUAUUUCCUGAUGACCCCCUGCAGAAACAGAUAAACAACAAAACUCGUGGAAUUCUGUCAGAUCAAACACUAAUUCUAGGUGUUGUUUGCAUAUUGGUCCUUUCUCUUGUUUAUUUGAUAAUUAAAAUUGAUACUUAAGAACCGUCAACAAAUACCCCCAUACUUAGGCUUUUACUCGUCCUCGAGAAAAGGAUGGUUAAGAACAAUAUCUGGGGUAAAACAUUUUAAAACAUUCUCUUCAUAACUGCAGGGUGUUAAAAUCCACUGUGUACUAUAGUCAGGGAAGUGUAUGGUUAAGAGUAAAGAUCCUUUCUUCUCAAUCCUGUCACUUGGAGUUUUUAUAUGUUUUUGAAAGAAAGUUAGCAUACCUUUUAUCAUCAUAGGUUCUCUCAGAUCACUCAUUACCUUUUAUAUAUCUCACUGAGGCUGUUUUAAUUUGUAAAAAUUCUUAAGCAUACUUACUUUGCAUUUAUUGCCCGAUCAAAAUGGGAUCCGAGGAGGGGAAUGUUAUACUCCUAGAUUAAAAUCUUUUUCAACUCUUGCUGGCAUAUUGCUUAUUAGAGGGACGAUGGGCUAUCAUUUUCUUUUUUUCUCUUUUUUUAAGUGGAUAUCGAGGUACCCCUAAUUCUACUGCCGGACACUUGUCCAUUUUUUCUGCGAGGUUAUCGAGCACUUGCUCCUUUUUAUUUCCUCGAAAUAUCUUUAUUUUUGCAUAGCCCAUGCCUCUAAUGCAAUAAUACUUCGGAAGAGUGAAUCUUUCUGAAUAAUGUCUUGAUCUUAGGAGCAUGAUAAAUCUCUCAACAAGGGUCUAACUCAUUUUGAACAAACUCAAUACAGAGUAGAUAGCUUUUAUAAUCAUAAUUAAUAUUUUCAGUUUUAGUAGGCAUAUAAAACACUGAGGAUGGUAGCUAGAAUUUUUGAAUAAAUUUUGAAAUAAAUUCUCCAAGCAACAAUGAUAUCAAGAAUAAGAAACUCAUACUCUACCAUCUCAUAGUCCACAAUGACAUAAGUAACACAGGGUUUUAAAAUGAUUUUUCAAUAAUUGCAAUUUUCAGGAAAUAUCACAGAGUGAGAUUAAUCAUAUUUAGAAACAUUUUAAGCUUGUUAAUUUAUCAUGUCGGAAACAGUAUUCUGCAUAAUCUAAAAUAUAUAUGAGUAUGUGUAAAAUAAGUGUGCAGAGUGUGUACCUGAAUCGUGGAGUGGUGUAGUCGAAGUGUGUUUGGCAUGUCGAGGGAUCUCCCCCAUACUUGUUUUCUGCUUUCUUGCACAAAAAUAAAGUAGAGACACACAAGACAUAAUAAUAAUACUCUUUAUUAAUCUUGAGGCAUUUAUUACAAAUAACUAGUAGCAAACUGACGAUAAUAGUAAACCCAAACCGAAUUUAAAAAUAGAUAACUAAGAUGCAUUGCCUCAAAGUCUAAUCUAGAUAACUCAGCGGCGCUCUAACUCCUUAAUCUUCUUAUUGGCACUGGCAAGAUCCUGCCUAAGGCCUAGUAUAACAGUGUUGUGGUUAGAGAGCUGCCUAGUGAGGGAAUUAACUGAGGACUGGAGGUCUAUGAUGACUCUGUCUAGCCUGCGAACGUCCUCAUCAAUAUCUACUAUAGUCUUGCGACGCUUGGGAGGUGUCUCAAAAGCAUUGAGAGCGUGCUUCGGGGCCGCCUUUGGAGGGAUGAAACAGACUUUGGCUAC